rnacentral:lncRNA from 1 species
GCAUCCCAUGCUCUCCCCAGUCAAAUCAAAUUCAAACAUGUCAUCUAAAUCUAGUCAAAUUCAACCACAAAUAUCAUGAUUAGCCGAUUAUCAAUCUAAAUAAAUUUGUACUGUACUAUCUUCCAGUCCAUAUAACUUAUGAGCUAGAUCUGUUUGGAGAUCAUUUGUCACAACCCAAGAUCUUAUUUAAAAAGGCUAGUUGAAAAAUAUUAUUUAGAUUUUUUGGUCAUAUAUAAAUAUCUAAGAUUUAUCCAAUGUAUAGUCAAUAAGAG